UACGGAGGGGGCUAGCGUUGUUCGGAAUUACUGGGCGUAAAGCGCGCGUAGGCGGACCUGCAAGUCGGGGGUGAAAGCCCGAGGCUCAACCUCGGAACUGCCUUCGAUACUGCGGGUCUCGAGUCCGGGAGAGGUGAGUGGAAUUCCUAGUGUAGAGGUGAAAUGCGUAGAGAUCGGAAAGAACACCAACGGCGAAAGCACUCUGCUGGGCCGACACUGACACUGAGAGACGAAAGCUAGGGGAGCGAAUGGG
rnacentral:rRNA from 1 species